AACCGACGUAGGCUUUCCUACAAUACAGCCUCUAACAAAACUAGGCUGUCCCGAACCCCUGGUAAUAGAAUUGUUUACCUUUAUACCAAGAAGGUUGGGAAAGCACCAAAAUCUGCAUGUGGUGUGUGCCCAGGCCGACUUCGAGGGGUUCGUGCUGUAAGACCUAAAGUUCUUAUGAGAUUGUCCAAAACAAAGAAACAUGUCAGCAGGGCCUAUGGUGGUUCCAUGUGUGCUAAAUGUGUUCGUGACAGGAUCAAGCGUGCUUUCCUUAUCGAGGAGCAGAAAAUCGUUGUGAAAGUGUUGAAGGCACAAGCACAGAGUCAGAAAGCUAAAUAAAAAAAUGAAACUUUUUUGAGUAAUAAAAAUGAAAAGACUUGC